rnacentral:lncRNA from 1 species
AUAUAGUGUGGCUGUAUCUGUGGUGGGUUAAUGUAGUGUGGCUGUAUCUGUGGUGGGUUAAUGUAGUGUGGCUGUAUCUGUGGUGGGUUAAUGUAGUGUUGCUGUAUCUGUGGUGGGUUAAUGUAGUGUUGCUGUAUCUGUGGUGGGUUAAUGUAGUGUUGCUGUAUCUGUGGUGGGUUAAUGUAGUGUGGUUGUAUCUGUGGUGGGUUAAUGUAGUGUUGCUGUAUCUGUGGUGGGUUAAUGUAGUGUUGCUGUAUCUGUGGUGGGUUAAUGUAGUGUGGUUGUAUCUGUGGUAGGUUAAUGUAGUGUUGCUGUAUCUGUGGUGGGUUAAUGUAGUGUGGCUGUAUCUGUGGUUGGUUAAUGUAGUGUUGCUGUAUCUGUGGUGGGUUAAUGUAUUGUUGCUGUAUCUGUGGUGGGUUAAUGUAGUGUUGCUGUAUCUGUGGUGGGUUAAUGUAUUGUUGCUGUAUCUGUGGUCGGAUAAUGUAGUGUGGCUGUAUCUGUGGUGGGUUAAUGUAGUGUUGCUGUAUCUGUGGUGGGUUAAUGUAGUGUGGCUGUAUCUGUGGUGGGUUAAUGUAGUGUUGCUGUAUCUGUGGUGGGUUAAUGUAUUGUUGCUGUAUCUGUGGUGGGUUAAUGUAGUGUUGCUGUAUCUGUGGUGGGUUAAUGUAUUGUUGCUGUAUCUGUGGUGGGUUAAUGUAGUGUGGCUGUAUCUGUAGUGGGUUAAUGUAUUGUUGCUGUAUCUGUGGUGGGUUAAUGUAUUGUUGCUGUAUCUGUGGUGGGUUAAUGUAUUGUUGCUGUAUCUGUGGUGGGUUAAUGUAGUGUGGCUGUAGAUUGUCUGUAGAUUGGCUGUAUCUGUGGUGGAUUAAUGUAGUGUUGCUGUAUCUGUGGUGGGUUAAUGUAGUGUUG